GGGCUCGUGGUCUAGUGGUAUGACGCCACCCUUACAAGGUGGAGGUCGGCGGUUCGAUUCCGCCCGAGCCCA
rnacentral:tRNA from 1 species